UUCAGGAUCUGUCCUUUUUACCUCAAGGUACAGCUUGGUGUCAUCUGCAUAUUUCAGCACUGUGGCAUUCUUUAAGUCGGCAUCUAUGCCAUUAAUGUAUGCAACAAACAAAAGGGGACCAAGAACAGAUCUCUUAUUUGAAACAACAGA